UCACAAUUGUUCUAAAAGAUAAACAGCAUAUAGGCUAACUAAGUAAUUAGGUAAGCGUAAUACUUGACUUGAUCAUUUUCACAUGUAAGUUAGCACUAUAGCCUAAAUCGUAAUCGUAAGUUAGCGAUCUCAAACUGAGGCCGAUUCCUUCAAGGUCAUUAUAUAGUGUCCACACUUGCACGCACAAAAUCUUAAGUAAAUUAACCGAAUUAACUAGCGGAAAAAAUACCAGCCUCGUGCUAAGCAAGGAAUUAACUCGGUUGUAAAAUAUGAACCGAUCCGAGACCAGGAGGUCGAAUUUAGGUCGAUCUUGAAUCAGUUUUCGCUCGCUUUUGGUUGUCCUUAUUUGGCCUGCGACACGACUCAGAACUCGAUUUCGGAUCGAUCUACUAAAUUGCUAGUGUGAACUAUGUGAAUUUUUUUUACAGCAGAAUCCCUGCCAUUUCAAACAAUCAAGGGAAACAGGGGGUUCGCGUGACUGGAAUUGAAUCAGGG